GCCCUGAGUGGCAUAGUGGUUAGGGUGAUGGACUAGGACCUGGGUUCGAAUCCCCAUUUGGUAGGGUU